rnacentral:rRNA from 1 species
UACGUAGGGUGCGAGCGUUGCUCGGAAUUACUGGGCGUAAAGCGUGCGUAGGCGGUUCGUUAAGUCAGCUGUGAAAGCCCCGGGCUCAACCUGGGAACUGCGGUUGAAACUGGCGAACUAGAAUCUGGCAGAGGGGGGUGGAAUUCCACGUGUAGCAGUGAAAUGCGUAGAGAUGUGGAGGAACACCGAUGGCGAAGGCAGCCCCCUGGGCUGAGAUUGACGCUCAGGCACGAAAGCGUGGGGAGCAAACAGG